rnacentral:rRNA from 1 species
GAUGAACGCUGGCGGCGUGCCUAACACAUGCAAGUCGAACGGAAAGGCCCUGCUUUUGUGGGGUUCUCGAUUGCCGAACGGGUGAGUAUCACGCGAGUAUCCUGCCCUUGUCUUUCGGGUAACAUCACGAAACUGGGGCUAAUAUCGGAUAGGAGAUCCUGCUGCGUGGUGGGGGUUGGAAAGUUUCGGCGGUUGGGGAUGGACUGGCGGCUUAUCAGCUUGUUGGUGGGGUUGGUGAUUACCAAGGCUUAGAAGGGUAGCCGGCCUGCGAGGGUGAACGGCGACAUGAGGACUACGGGAGGCAGCAGACGGCAACGGGAGGCAGCGGUGGGAAAUAUUGCACAGUGGGCCGAAGUCUGAGACGACGGCGCCGCGUGCGGAAAGCCGGCUUUCUGGUUGUGAACCGCUUUCGCCUGAGACGAAGCGUUAUUGACGGUAACGAAUAAAGAAGCACCGGCUAACUACGUG